AGUGAACGCUGGCGGUAGGCCUAACACAUGCAAGUCGAACGGCAGCACAGGAGAGCUUGCUCUCUGGGUGGCGAGUGGCGGACGGGUGAGGAAUACAUCGGAAUCUACUUUUUCGUGGGGGAUAACGUAGGGAAACUUACGCUAAUACCGCAUACGACCUACGGGUGAAAGCAGGGGAUCUUCGGACCUUGCGCGAUUGAAUGAGCCGAUGUCGGAUUAGCUAGUUGGCGGGGUAAAGGCCCACCAAGGCGACGAUCCGUAGCUGGUCUGAGAGGAUGAUCAGCCACCCUGGAACUGAGACACGGUCCAGACUCCUACGGGAGGCAUCAGUGGGGAAUAUUGGACAAUGGGCGCAAGCCUGAUCCAGCCAUACCGCGUGGGUGAAGAAGGCCUUCGGGUUGUAAAGCCCUUUUGUUGGGAAAGAAAUCCAGCUGGUUAAUACCCGGUUGGGAUGACGGUACCCAAAGAAUAAGCACCGGCUAACUUCGUGCCAGCAGCCGCCGCCG
rnacentral:rRNA from 1 species